UUUUUUUUUUUUUUUUUAAAUAGAGAUGGGCGUCUCACUACGUUGCCCAGGCUUGUCCCAAACUCCUGAGCUCAAGCAAUCCUCCUGCCUUGGCUUCCCAAAGUGCUGCGAUUAUAGGCAAGAGCAUGGCCUAAGUCGUUGCUGUUUUACUGUUUAUGCCAAUGCUUGUUUCAGAAAAACAAGAAGAUUGCGAAUGUGACAGUCUCUGUGCAACUUGGAGUUUGCUGUUGAUAUGAGGCUUAUUGGUUGUGAGAAAGUAGGACUUUCUGUGGAAAUUGGGAUGAGAAAAAAAUGAGAAGAUUCUGUACCUCACCUUUUCUCACAGUGCCUGGCAAGUUACCUAGGAAGUAGUGUUCAAUAAAUGCAUAUUGAACGAAUCUGGAAGCAACUAGGCAACUUUGAUCUUAGCAUCCAAGUGUGGGAUGGUGGGGACAGAGUUGAGUUUAAGCAACUGUUAUCAACAGAAUCUACAGCAACAGCUGAGUCAGGAUUCAUUUGGCUUCCUAGAGUUGUUUGUUUUUAAGACACUUUUGGCCUGGCGUGGUAGCUCAGCCUAUAAUCCCAGCACUUCUCUGGUGGGGCAAGGCAGGAGGAUAGCUUGAGCCCAGGGGUUCAAGACUACCCUGGGCAACAUAGCAAGACCCCAUCACUACAAAAAAUAAAAAAUUAGCUGGGCAUGAUGGCUCACACCUAUAGUUCCAGCUACUCAGGAAGCGGAGGUGGGAGGAUUGUUUUAGCCCAGGAGGUUGAGAUUACAGAGAGCUGCCGGGCGCGGUGGUUCAAGCCUGUAAUCCCAGCACUUUGGGAGGCCGAGACGGGUGGAUCACGAGGUCAGGAGAUUGAGACCAUCCUGGCUAACAGGUUGAAACCCCGUCUCUACUAAAAAAUACAAAAAGCUAGCUGGACGAGGUGGCGGGCGCCUGUAGUCUCAGCUACUUGGGAGGCUGAGGCAGGAGAAUGGCGUGAACCCGGGAGGCGGAGCUUGCAGUGAGCUGAGAUCCCGCCACUGCACUCCAGCCUGGGCAACAGAGCCAGACUCCAUCUCAAAAAAAAAAAAAAAGUAGAAAGUUUGGCUCCUUGACAGGUCACUUGGAGAAGAAAAACACACUGUCAAAAGUAUGACUAACACCAGGUAGUAAUGACCAAUGCCAAAUCGAAAGAAAAGUCAGGGAGUGCUUAGGAUUGGUGUGGGAAGGCUUUCAAGAGGGAUAAAACAUAUUUGCUUUGAUGGAUGGGCAGGAUUCAGAUAUGAGAAGACUUUUUCAGAAAGAGAACAGUUUGGAGCAAAGGCUCAGAGGCCAAACAAGACCUUUGUAUUAUCUAUCAAACACUCAGUAUAUAUCCAACACUGCGCUAGCUUCUUUUACAUACUGUUGUCCAGUUUAACAUAUACAUAAUAGUACAACAAAUUAGGCUUUGUUAUCCCUAUUUUACAAAUGAGGAAACCGAAGCGCAGCAAGAUUCAGUAUUUUGCCCAGGGUCCUAAUAAAGCAAUGGCAGACCCAGGGUUCAAAUCCACAUUGUGUAACUCCAAGUCCAAAGAUUUUUCCAGAAUAUAUGCUGCUUGUUUGGCAUAAAGGAAAUAGGUCAGUUUGGAUGGAAUGGAAGGCUUCAUGCUGGGGCAGUCAGGAUGCAGAGAGGUCAGGGGAAGCCAGAAUACUGAGUGCUAGGCAAGAGGGUUUGGAUUGACCAGGAAGCCCUUGGGUAGCUCAAGGUAUCUGAGUAAUAGAGUGACAUAACUGAAGUUUGUUC
rnacentral:lncRNA from 1 species